GGAAUAUUGCACAAUGGGCGAAAGCCUGAUGCAGCGACGCCGCGUGAGGGAUGACGGCCUUCGGGUUGUAAACCUCUUUCAGCUCCGACGAAGCGAAAGUGACGGUAGGGGCAGAAGAAGCACCGGCCAACUACGUGCCAGCAGCCGCGGUAAUACGUAGGGUGCAAGCGUUGUCCGGAAUUAUUGGGCGUAAAGAGCUCGUAGGCGGCUUGUCGCGUCGGCUGUGAAAACCUGGGGCUCAACCCCGGGCCUGCAGCCGAUACGGGCAAGCUAGAAUUCGGUAGGGGAGACUGGAAUUCCUGGUGUAGCGGUGAAAUGUGCAGAUAUCAGGAGGAACACCGGUGGCGAAGGCGGGUCUCUGGGCCGAAAUUGACGCUGAGGAGCGAAAGCGUGGGGAGCGAACAGGA
rnacentral:misc_RNA from 1 species